AUCUCUGACAGACCUGGAGCAGUUGAAGCCUGCUGCUAAUGUUUCCACUAUACGAGAAAAAGAAGGUCCUCAUGCUUUCUGUUUGUCUGGUUAUGGUAGCCAAGAUUGAAUGGGGGAGUACAGGA
rnacentral:snoRNA from 1 species